rnacentral:tRNA from 1 species
UCUCUGUUAGUAUAUCGGUUAGUACACGCGCCUGUCAUCUUGCCUUGAUCGCGCGAAAGCGGGGUUCGACUCCCCGACAGAGAG